rnacentral:lncRNA from 1 species
AAUUAUGCUGAGCCUCCUGCAAAGGCGGCAGAGAAGGCCCCGCCUGGCCAGCAUGGCCCGCAGCCUCCCCACUCCCUCCCACAGGCCUUCCAGCCCCACCAGCCCCCAGCCCCACUCCAAGCAGGCACCCACAAAUGGCUGGACAUCAAGAGGAGCAUGUCAGAGGAGGAGCACGCGGGCUGCUGGAUGUCGAGAGGAAUGUACCGAUAGUCCCUGGCAUGAUGGCAGGCCAUCGACCAUCGACCAGCUGAACUAGCAGAGUUUGGCUGAGGCAGAGUUUGGCUGGGAAGUCAGAGGAGAGUGGCCCAACUGCAGGGGAAAAC